UCCGUGUAAAAGAGGCCAACGG
rnacentral:misc_RNA from 1 species